CUCAUGGUUGUCGUUCUCCCGUAUCCCUAACCUCACGAACCCCACUAUCCCACUCAUCCCCUGCCAUGGAUGGCGCCGCCGCCCUGCUCCCGACUGUUGUCGUCGCUCCGCUUCCCAUCUGCCGCCGCUGUCCACCGCUAUCCACUACAUCCAGCCUCUUUCGCAUCCCACGGCCUCCACCACCACCAUGAACCAUCUCUCUUCUUGGUCCUCUCUCUUGGACCUUCACAUGGCAGCGGAUGCUUCUGGUGGCGUGUGGCGACGCGACCGGUGGAGGGAACGGGGUUGAGGCCGACUGUGUCCCGUUCAUCGAUCUGUGCCCACCACAUGUUCCUCCUCUCCAUCGAAUGUCACGUCCCCAGUUACUGCGACACACGGCGCUCUCCUCUCUUGAGACGAUGCUUAUAGGCGACAAUAAUGGUGUCCUGUUGUGCCCCUCCACACUUGGGACCACCGAGGCGCAAAAGUAUCCAGAGAAGAUCGGCCGUGUUCUAAGUGGCUACCCAGCAAGAGACGUGGUCACAUGGAUGAUUAUCAUCUUUUGGCAAAAGGAUGUUAAUUGACUGAAGAAAUAGCACUGCACCUAUGACUAUGAUCGUAGAUGUCCAGUCCUGAUUUUUGAGGACCAGUUUAGGAUGUGAUCAUUUGUGCGGAUUCAAAGCUGCUUGACAUGAUUUUUACUAAUCUGAACGUCGGGCAUAAUCAAUGUUAAGUAGGCUUCAUUGAAUUCUUAAUAAGGAAAUUAUACAAUAUGAUGUGUCUGCCAUAGUAUUAGUGUUGUUUGAAGAAUUUCUUCUUCUUACCAAUUAGGCAGAUGCUUUAACUGUCGAUGCAGACCCUGUGCAGGAUGUUCAUCAGCAACGCCAGUCAGGGAUUCAGGAUGUUCAUUGAAUUUCUUCUUCUCAUUUCCUAUGGAGCUCAUGGGAUCAGUCAUAUGAACCUCAUGUAUUUGAUAGUUUUCUCCAUCACUUUUAUGCCUUCAACUAUAGAUAAUUAAGGCUACCCCAAAAGUUCAUUGAGAUUUGUUUUUUAUAGGACUUGGAUUAAUAAUCUCCAACAAUAUUGUUAUUGCCUCUUAUAUAUAAUUUCAGUUCUAGUUACAUUUCAGAUUUUCUUUAUGCUGUACUACUAAACUGUGUGUUCUAAACCAAAGAUGACAUCUGCGUCUUUUUAUGCAUGCAUGUUUCAAGACAAUAUAUCUAAUAUGUAGUAUAUAGAAAGGUACCUAAAAUAUUAGCUUAUAUUGCCAACUCUUGAAAAUAUACGAUCCUUUUACAUUUUUUGCCGUGAACCUGGGGAGCUUGGAACGGAGUAUGGUGUCAAUAAUCAGUAUAUACCAGGAUAAUAUUUCAACAAUGACGUUGCUUGCCUCAAUACUUCCUUCACCACCAAUCUAGCCGCAAACUCUGUUUCUCCUUGAAUGUAGGUCCACAAAGGUUGUGCUUUCUGUGCAUCUAAAAGUAAGGUUACUAUCAUAAUUACAGUAAAGUUUCUUCUCUAUUCAAAUUGAAUUUGAUAAGCAACAAAGUCCUCUGUGUCAUGCUUCAGUUAUAUGGCUCGAGCUGGCCAAACCUGAAAUGUUCGGUGAAGAUCCAAAGUACAUCUAGAUUACUUUGUGUUGCCCACAAUCCUAUUACUUGAUUUUUUUUUGCUAACUAUCUCUAUGGAUAAAUCUGCAAGAUGAUGCAAAAAAGUUGCAUGCAGAUAGGCUGUGUACAAACAUGCAUGGUGUAAGUUUAUACCAAUUUUACAAUAUUGAGAUUUGUUCAGAUGCUUCUAAGCAGUGCUCUAGCAGAACGGUGCUACAUUUCCUUACUGUUGUUGCCAAAUAUUUGUAUUGUGGCAUAUUAGGACUGGACAGCAUCAUUCUAACGACCUCACCCUAGGAGUCCACUUCUACACGGUCAUGGCAUCCGCCUCCACCAAUUAUCUAGAGUUAAGUUCUAGAGACGAUCGGGGAGGUCAACUUUGAGAUGCAGCACUCUAUGUGUUCACGCAAUCGGAACGCCCGAAAUAUCACGCCAAUAUGAGGGACGCCCGAAAUAUCAAGCCAAUAUGUGAUUUAUGCCUUUUCUGUUAGGGGAAGCCAUGGUGUCCACAAGGCUCAAGCAAGUCGGAUUUCUGAUAUGGAUUUUAAAUGAUCAAGACAACCUAAGUGGCUCUUUGCUUGGCCACCAUUGCCAAUAUUUAUGGAGCAGUUUUCAAAUAUGCAAAUGUCCAACCCAUUAAAACAUCCUCUUAGGUUCAUACGCAUAAGCAACUGCUGGUAUUUUGUGAGAGUGCAUUUUAAAACGAUUUGCAAAACUUCUGACGAGGAUAAUCAUAAAAUGCACAAAGCGUUUUAAAUUAUUUUUCCAAUUUUGUAAAUACUGAAUCAAAAUAUCGAAUAAAUAUUUUUUAGGUUCAUUAAUAAAGAUAGAGUGGUAGUGACAACUAUUAGAUGUUCCAUAUCUAUAUUAGCUUUCCCUAAAUAUAAAAUACUAAAAAGGUCUGAGUGGUGAGUGCUACUUCAUUGGUAUUUUAAUGUGUCUUCACAUUAUAAAAUACAACUGAUGGUC